AAUCAUUAGCCUCUUAAUUAGAGGCUAGAAUGAAUGGUUUAACAUUUCCUUAACUUUUUUAAAAAUUAAUAUAAAACUUAUAUUAAAUAUAAAAAUAUAUUUAUUUACAAAUUAGACGACAAGACCCUUUCAAACUUUACUAAAGUUUAGCUGGGGUAGCUAAAUAAUUAUACUCUUAUUAAUAAAACCAAAACAGACCCAAUUUAAAAAUUGAUUAAAUGAACAAGUUACUGAAGGGAUAACAGCAUAAUAAAUUUAUAUAGCUCUUAUUAAAAAAUAAGUUUAUGACCUCGAUGUUGAAUUAUUUUUACUUCUAGACGCAAGAGCUUAGAAAGUAGGUCUGUUCGACCUUUAAAUUUU
rnacentral:rRNA from 1 species